rnacentral:rRNA from 1 species
UACGGGGGGAGCAAGCGUUGUUCGGAUUUACUGGGCGUAAAGAGCUCGUAGGCGGCUUGUUGCGUCGACUGUGAAAAACCACGUCUCAACCGUGGGACUGCGAGUCGGAUACGGGCAGGCUAGAGUUCGGUAGGGGAGGACUGGAAUCCUGGUGUAGCGGUGAAAUGCGCAGAUAUCAGGAAGAACACCCGUGGCGAAGGCGGCUCUCGUGGGACGGUACUGACGCUGAGACGCGAAAGCGUGGGGAGGCGAACAGG